rnacentral:rRNA from 1 species
CGAACGGGUGAGUAAUGCGUGACCAACCUGCCCCAUGCUCCAGAAUAGCUCUUGGAAACGGGUGGUAAUGCUGGAUGCUCCAACUUGACGCAUGUCUUGUUGGGAAAGUGUUUAGUGGCAUGGGAUGGGGUCGCGUCCUAUCAGCUUGUAGGCGGGGUAAUGGCCCACCUAGGCUUCGACGGGUAGCCGGCCUGAGAGGGCGGACGGCCACAUUGGGACUGAGAUACGGCCCAGACUCCUACGGGAGGCAGCAAA